rnacentral:snoRNA from 1 species
UACAUUAAAAUGAUGAUAAAUCCAUAAGAACAACUGAGUUACUGAUUAUAUCUUAAACAUGCAUCACCAUCUGAUUUUUUUU